UACGGGGGGGGCAAGCGUUGCUCGGAAUUACUGGGCGGAAAGGGCUCGUAGGCGGCCAACUAAGUCGGAUGUGAAAUCCCCAGGCUUAACCUGGGAACUGCAUCCGAUACUGGAUGGCUUGAAUCCGGGAGAGGGAUGCAGAAUUCCAGGUGUAGCGGUGAAAUGCGUAGAUAUCUGGAGGAAUACCGGUGGCGAAGGCGGCAUCCUGGACCGGCAUUGACGCUGAUGAGCGAAAGCUAGGGGAGCAAACGGG
rnacentral:rRNA from 1 species